rnacentral:rRNA from 1 species
UGAUAGGCCGGAGGUGUAAGCACGGUAACGUGUUCAGCUGACCGGUACUAAUAACCCGAGGGCUUGACCUA